AGAGACAGCCGGUGACUGUAUCCUAGCCUACACUCAUAUUCCACUCGCUCCCCCACAUUAUAGGAGGAUUUAAUGUCACCCUUGGGCCUCAUACUUUGAAAUCUUGGUGGCUCACCACAGGUGUUAGAGGAGGUAGAUGGCAGGAACACCAGGGUCAGCAGGAGAAUCCCGAGAACCCACGGGGAAGCAGAGGGACCCUGGCAGUGGUGAGGUGGUGCCUUGGGCGGUGCGGAAGAAGCUGCCAUUUUCCUGGAGAAAGGCGGAAAACCUGAGGGCCAAUCAAGUACUUGGCCAGUACAAUGGGAGUGCUUUGUGAGUGCGCUGAUCAGACGCAACAAUCCCCACACUUGCCAAGUGUCAAGGGUCAAAUGACAGGUGGGCGUGGCCUAGGUGACUCAGGUUAGCAUGUUUUAGGUGUUGGUUUAAGUUGUCAGCAUUAAGGUAGCGCUGAUAGAUUUGGGUCUCUUGACUAAAAGUAAUAACUUUCUGUGCACAAGAAUAUCCCUGUCCAGUAUUUACAGGUUUUUUCUUAAACAUCAAUGCCCAGAAUCUUCCAGUUUUUUUUUUUUUUUUCAUGAGCAAGGAGUCAUUUGAAACGUCCCAGGAUGCCCAAAUUAACAGAAAAAAAUGAGAUAAGAAAAUAACAGAAGGCUCUAACAGAUGUUUCUAUCGUGAAUGCUUUGACCUGCCUGAAGAGCACCAGCUAACACGACUCCCCUUGAAUGGAGUACGUCUCAUAACCCUCAAUAAGGAGAGAAAACCUGAGAAGCUUUUACAGCUGCGCCUGCCUUUGCCUGUGAAUAUGGCUUCUGCU